CAGAUAACAUUUUCUCAUAAGUGAGAGUCUCAUUUGGAAGUCACAUGCCAUGGAAAAUACCUAAUUAGCCAAUUAAGUGCAGUGGCACAUGAAAAAUCCACUUUUACAACUUUGGGAGGAGGUUGAAAGUGAGUCAUCAAGCUGGGUGUGAGUCAUCAGGCUUGGGAGACUGAGGCAGGAGUAUCAUGUGGACACUGUAUAAUGGUAAAUAGGAAGUUUCUGACAAAAGAAGAAGACUCGGGAGGUGACAAGUAUGACCUGCCAAACAGAAAAGGAAAGCCAGACACGUGCUGUCAGUGUGAGACUUGUUUAUGGAACAUGCUGUUGUCAUGUGUGAAGAAGCAUGCUGCCAUGCUCUAGGUGAGAUACCUAAAGCAAAGAUUAUUUCUGCAGUAGAAUUUUAUUUGUAUUUUCAUUGUGGUUCACACGGGAAUUUAUCUGUGGUGUUGCUUUUUAGAUUGUGUAAGCAGGUAAACAGUUGAUACUGAAAAUGUUGAUGCU